GUGUCAGCAGCCGCGGUAAUACAGAGGGUGCAAGCGUUGCUCGGAUUUACUGGGCGUAAAGCGUACGCAGACGGCCACGCAGGUCGGGUGUGAAAGCCCCGGGCUCAACCCGGGAAUUGCAUUCGAAACCAUGUGGCUCGAGUGUGGGAGAGGGUAGUGGAAUUCCUGGUGUAGAGGUGAAAUUCGUAGAUAUCAGGAGGAACACCGGCGGCGAAGGCGGCUACCUGGUCCACAACUGACGUUCAGGUACGAAAGCGUGGGGAGCAAACAGGAUUAGAUACCCUGGUAGUCC
rnacentral:rRNA from 1 species